AAGCAGGCUUGAAGAAGCGCUUUAUACUCUCUCCUUUGUACUUCUUCACAAGAUCGUACAUUAUGGACAACACUGCCAAGCAGGUGGUGGUUUCAGCAGCUGGUUUAAUCCCCAUUCAGAACACUCCUCCUCUGAUGUACAGCCGCCCUCGAGUUCUGCAAAGCAAAUUGGACAACUGACGUGUCCGUGUCGGUGCUGUGGGAAACUUUGAAGUCAUAUAUCAGGG